UNUCUGCCCCUUGCCAUCAUAUGGCUUCC
rnacentral:piRNA from 1 species